UAUCGGUACAGGUGCUGAGUGUCGGUACAGGUGCUGAGUGUCGGUACAGGUGCUGAGUGUCGGUAUAGGUUCUGAGUGUCGGUACAGGUUCUGAGUGUCAGUACAGGUGCUGAGUGUCGGUACAGGUGCUGAGUGUCGGUACAGGUGCUGAGUGUAGGUACAGGUGCUUUGUUUAGGUACAGGUGCUUAGUGUAGGUACAGGUGCUGAGUGUCAGUACAGGUGCUGAGUGUAGGUACAGGUGCUGAGUGUAGGUACAGGUGCUGAGUAUAGGUACAGGUAUAGGUGCUGAGUGUCGGUACAGGUACAGGUGCUGAGUAGGUACAGGUGCUGAGUUUACGUACAGGCACAGGUGCUGAGUGUCGGUACAGGUACAGGUGCUGAGUAGGUACAGGUGCUGAGUGUAGGUACAGGUAUAGGUGCUGAGUGUCGGUACAGGUACAUGUGCUGAGUGUAGGUACAGGUACCGAGUAGGUACAGGUGCUGAGUGUUGGUACAGGUGCUUAGUGUCAGUACAGGUGCUGAGUGUCGGUACAGGUGCUGAGUGUAGGUACAGGUGUUCAGUGUAGGUACAGGUGCUGAGUGUCAGUACAGGUGCUGAGUGUAGGUACAGGUGCUGAGUGUAGGUACAGGUGCUGAGUAUAGGUACAGGUAUAGGUGCUGAGUGUCGGUACAGGUACAGGUGCUGAGUAGGUACAGGUGCUGAGUUUACGUACAGGCACAGGUGCUGAGUGUGGGUACAGGUACAGGUGCUGAGUAGGUACAGGUGCUGAGUGUAGGUACAGGUAUAGGUGCUGAGUGUCGGUACAGGUAUAGGUGCUGAGUGUCGGUACAGGUACAGGUGCUGAGUGUAGGUACAGGUACAGGUGCUGAGUGUCAGUACAGGUACAGGUGCUGAGUAGGUACAGGUGCUGAGUGUAGGUACAGGUAUAGGUGCUGAGUGUCGGUACAGGUACAGGUGCUGAGUGUAGGUACAGGUGCUGAGUUCCGGUACAAGUGCUGAGUGUCGGUACAGGUGCUGAGUUCCGGUACUGGUGCUGAGUGUCGGUACAGGCGCUGAGUUCCGGUACUGGUGCUGAGUGUCGGUACAGGUGCUGAGUGUCGGUACAGGUGCUGAGUUCUGGUGCUGAGUGUCGGUGCAGGUGCUGAGUUCCGGUACUGGUGCUGAGUGUCGGUACAGGCGCUGAGUUCUGGUGCUGAGUGUCGGUACAGGUGCUGAGCGUCGGUACAGGUGCUGAGUUCCGGUACUGGUGCUGAGUGUCAGUACAGGUGCUGAGUUCCGGUACUGGUGCUGAGUUCCGGUACGGUGCUGAGCGUCGGUACAGGUGCUGAGUUCCGGUACUGGUGCUGAGUGUCGGUACAGGUGCUGGUUUCCGGUACUGGUGCUGAGUGUCGGUACAGGUGCUGGUUUCCGGUACUGGUGCUGAGUGUCGGUACAGGUGCUGAGUUCCGGUACUGGUGCUGAGUGUUGGUACAGGUGCUGAGUUCCGGUACUGAGUGUCGGUACAGGCGCUGAGUUCCGGUACAGGGUGGAGAGAGUCUGCCGUGAAGGUAUUUGUCCUUCUACCAUUGUGUGUACUUUAAAUACCUCUUCUAAUGCUUAUUUCUAUGGCUGCUAUCUAUUUUCCCUUGCAUUCACUGCUACAAUAAAACAAUUUAGAUGUUUACAAUAGGAUAAUAAUCAUAGAUACACUGAGUACACAAAACAUUAAGAACACUGCUCUUUC
rnacentral:lncRNA from 1 species